AUUGAACGCUGGCGGCAUGCCUUACACAUGCCAGUCGAACGGCAGCAUGAUCUAGCUUGCUAGAUUGAUGGCGAGUGGCGAACGGGUGAGUAAUACAUCGGAACGUGCCCUGUAGUGGGGGAUAACUAGUCGAAAGAUUAGCUAAUACCGCAUACGACCUGAGGGUGAAAGUGGGGGACCGCAAGGCCUCAUGCUAUAGGAGCGGCCGAUGUCUGAUUAGCUAGUUGGUGAGGUAAAGGGUCACCAAGGCGACGAUCAGUAGCUGGUCUGAGAGGACGAUCAGCCACACUGGGACUGAGACACGGCCCAGACUCCUACGGGAGGCAGCAGUGGGGAAUUUUGGACAAUGGGCGAAAGCCUGAUCCAGCAAUGCCGCGUGUGUGAAGAAGGCCUUCGGGUUGUAAAGCACUUUUGUCCGGAAAGAAAUGGCUCUGGUUAAUACCUGGGGUCGAUGACGGUACCGGAAGAAUAAGGACCGGCUAACUACGUG
rnacentral:rRNA from 1 species